GGGGGAUAUUGCACAAUGGGGGAAACCCUGAUGCAGCGACGCCGCGUGAGGGAAGACGGUCCUCUGGAUUGUAAACCUCUGUCUUCGGGGACGAAACGAGACGGUACCCGAGGAGGAAGCCACGGCUAACUACGUGCCAGCAGCCGCGGUAAUACGUAGGUGGCAAGCGUUGUCCGGAAUUACUGGGUGUAAAGGGAGCGUAGGCGGGCAGGCAAGUCAGGCGUGAAAUAUAUCGGCUCAACCGGUAACGGCGCUUGAAACUGCAGGUCUUGAGUGAAGUAGAGGUUGGCGGAAUUCCUAGUGUAGCGGUGAAAUGCGUAGAUAUUAGGAGGAACACCAGUGGCGAAGGCGGCCAACUGGGCUUUUACUGACGCUGAGGCUCGAAAGUGUGGGGAGCAAAC
rnacentral:rRNA from 1 species